GACGUAGGGCGCGAGCGUUAAUCGGAAUUACUGGGCGUAAAGCGUGCGCAGGCGGCGUUGCAAGUCGGGUGUGAAAUCCCCGAGCUUAACUUGGGAAUUGCGCUCGAAACUACGAUGCUCGAGUAUGGCAGAGGAAGGUGGAAUUCCACGUGUAGCGGUGAAAUGCGUAGAGAUGUGGAGGAACACCGAUGGCGAAGGCAGCCUUCUGGGCCAAUACUGACGCUCAUGCACGAAAGCGUGGGGAGCAAACAGG
rnacentral:rRNA from 1 species